AUUGAACGCUGGCGGCAGGCCUAACACAUGCAAGUCGAGCGGAUGAAGGGAGCUUGCUCCUGGAUUCAGCGGCGGACGGGUGAGUAAUGCCUAGGAAUCUGCCUGGUAGUGGGGGAUAACGUCCGGAAACGGGCGCUAAUACCGCAUACGUCCUGAGGGAGAAAGUGGGGGAUCUUCGGACCUCACGCUAUCAGAUGAGCCUAGGUCGGAUUAGCUAGUUGGUGGGGUAAAGGCCUACCAAGGCGACGAUCCGUAACUGGUCUGAGAGGAUGAUCAGUCACACUGGAACUGAGACACGGUCCAGACUCCUACGGGAGGCAGCAGUGGGGAAUAUUGGACAAUGGGGGCAACCCUGAUCCAGCCAUGCCGCGUGUGUGAAGAAGGUCUUCGGAUUGUAAAGCACUUUAAGUUGGGAGGAAGGGCAGUAAGUUAAUACCUUGCUGUUUUGACGUUACCAACAGAAUAAGCACCGGCUAACUUUAUGCCAGCAGCCGCGGUAAC
rnacentral:rRNA from 1 species